GAAAUGCGAUAAGUAAUGUGAAUUGCAGAAUUCAGUGAAUCAUCGAAUCUUUCAACGCACAUUGCGCUCGCCAGUAUUCUGGCGAGCAUGCCUGUUCGAGCGUCAUUUCAACCAUCAAGCUCUGCUUGCGUUGGGGAUCCGCGGCUGCCCGCGGUCCCUCAAAAACAGUGGCGGGCUCGCUAGUCACACCGAGCGUAGUAACUCUACAUCGCUAUGGUCGUGCGGCGGGUUCUUGCCGUAAAACCCCCAAUUUCUAAGGUUGACCUCGGAUCAGGUAGGAAUACCCGCUGAACUUAAGC
rnacentral:misc_RNA from 1 species